rnacentral:lncRNA from 1 species
AAACGAAAGAAAAUAUUUUUUUUUAUACAAUUCUUUAAACAUUUUAAAAGCAAGGUAUGCAAUAAAAUAAAAUAUACAUUAUAUAUACAAAUGUACACACAAAAAUAAAGUAAAAUGAAUUCAGUCAUUUAAAUUUUUCAUUGAAUGCACCUUUUCAUAAACACAGUUCUUAGAGUAACUUAAACCAAACCCUUCCGCGGUAUUCAAACUAACCAGUUUUUGACUAGUAAGGUCUUAGCUUAAAACAUAAAUGGUGCUCCUAUAUUGAUAUAACAAGUAGAUAAUUUCCAUCUUACGCUAUGACGUACAAUUCAUGUAAGUGGUGCUUGGUACUCAAACUAAACUAACACAUUACGAUAGUAUAGUAUAAUAUCAACCCUAGAGUUUACUUAGGGAAUGAAUCUUACAAUACUAAUAAAGUCACAGGACUAUUAUUUCAUGGCUUGUUAUGUGCUGUAUUUCCAUCGGUGUAUUACUGAUUUGAAGCGACCAUCGAAAAUACUAAUUAGUAAGUGUUGUCAUAUGAAUUAUAGUUUAACAAAUGUUAAAAGUAAAAAUGUAGUAAAAUAAUUUUGCAUAGGAUGUCAAUGGAAUACUAUCUCAUUUUUUUUCAAAAUUAGUCAAAUUCCCUCUGAGUAGCUUUUCAGAGGUCAGGCAUUUAAAAAAAAAUUAAACUUACCUUUUACCGUUACCGAUAACUGAUGCAAGUCGAAGGUUUAUCUAUUCAUAUCUCUACAAACAUUUUGCAUUCACUAAUGAUAAAAACACUGAAAAGUUAAAACAAAAAAAAAAACAAAACAAAACAACAAAACAACAAAAAUACAUUACUCAAAGGAAAAUUAAAAACUGAAAGUCCUUUAUCCAAUAGCAAAAUAAAAAGUUCAAGGAUAUAAAAAAAUUGGAUAAUACAGAAACUUUUAUAAUUGCUAAGAUGAGAGUGCAAAGCAAAUACAGUCCAUAUAGCUUCACAUAUAGCUUCACAUAAGUUCAAUUCUUAGUUGUGUUGACAAAGCUGAGAAAAUAACAGAUAAAACUGAAUCUCGGACCCACCCAACUGACUUAUUAGAAAUAUCGAAACAUUUAAAGCUGUAUUGCUUCUGGUUUGAAAUAAUCUAUUAAAAGUAUAUAAAAAGGAUAUAGAUCACAUGGAUUUGAUAGAUAUAUAGAAUAAUUAGAAUGAACGCAAGACACAGGUAAACCCUAAUGGACAAGUUAUGCAUUUAAGUAGAAUGUGCUAAGAUAAAUCCUGUAUUCUUUCUAUGUAAGUCAUGAAUAAACAGUAAUGCAGUCAC